rnacentral:rRNA from 1 species
CAAUAGCGUAUAUUAAAGCUGUUGCGGUUAAAAAGCUCGUAGUUGGAUUUCUGUCAAGGACAACUGGUCCGCCCUCCGGGUGAGCACAUAGUUUGGUCUUGGCAUCUUGCUGGAAACUGUUGCUGCGCUUGGUUGUGUGGUGCAGCUUUCAGCACUUUCACUUUGAGGAAAUUGGAGUGUUUCAAGCAGGCACAUGCCUUUGGACACAGUAGCAUGGAAUAAUUAGGUUGGGCUUUUGCUCCAACUUGUUGGUUCCUGGAGCUGAGGUGAGAAUCAAUGGGGAUUGUUGGGGGCAUCCGAAUUUAGCCGUCAGAGGUGAAAUUCUUGGAUCUGCUAAAGACGGACAACUGCGAAAGCGUUUGCCCAGGAUGUUUUCAUUGA